ensembl:lncRNA
AUGCAGAUGAAUCGAUGCCUGUUGCGGGGAGAGAGGAUGCUGGAGAUGCUGUAUAUGUACACCGAUUUCUGAUGGCCAUGAUUUGAUUUAUUUUCCAAAGGUAUGUGGCUCCAUAAUGUAAAUAGGUUGUAAUAAAGUGCUGUAACUGACUACAGUUAUGCCCAUUCAUGGGAAGUUGAAUGUUUUGUUUUGUAUGUAUUUUCUAUUACUAGUAAUCAGGCAGAAAAGCCGUUGCUUUUGAUCUGGUGCUGUAUAUGUACACCGAUUUCUGAUGGCCAUGAUUUGAUUUAUUUUCCAAAGGAAAAUAAAGGAAAGAAAAUUCAACAGUUCCGCCUCCGUCUCCCUGAUGCUUGACCAUCGUUACACUCACACCGAUCUUCCUCGUCGUCAUCGUCCUCUAUGUCCUCCGGUUCAACCAAAGCCACCCCAGCCUUAGCUGCAAUGUUGUGCAACAUAGCACACAU